rnacentral:ncRNA from 2 species
AUUUUCGUAGUAAAUUAAGGUGCCAUUCGGCUUAAUAGGGAAUCUGGUAAAAUCCAGAACUGCCCCCGCAACUGUAAGUGUGGACGAAAAAGGAGAACCACUGUAUAAAAAUACUUUUCCUUGAGGAGGUAUAUUGUACGGGAAGGUCCUUGAGUAGGACGAUACACGAGUCAGGAGACCUAGCUUAAUUGAAAUGAGUUU